rnacentral:lncRNA from 1 species
CUCCCAUAUUCCAGCACCACUGUGUGUAGACUCCUCCUUGUACAUUUCUUAAAGGUAAUUGUGUUCUGUGCUAGUGUUUGCAACUUGGGGAAUGUGGAAAGUUCUCAGGAUGUGUUUCAAGAAAAGAUAAUACAUCAAAGAAAGGUCAUCCGUUGAGUUGUUUCCCCUACUCCUCUCCUUUCAUCCAAGCUAAGGAAAAGAGACAUCCACCUAGCAAAGGUGCCUCUGAAAUGUUCUGCUGAAACUUCUCUUGUUCUCAACAUUCCUGUUAGCAGAUGCACAGCCUCCUGAUCUUGGCCGGAAUUAGGGG